rnacentral:piRNA from 1 species
UGGGGGCAAUCUUAAUAUUUGACAACUGUC